AGGGGAAUUUAUUGGAGGAGGAUUGGAUAAAAUUAAGGGUAAGAAAAUGACUAUAUUUAAAAAGAAAAAACAAUAGCUGAAUUUAGAAAGAAGGUAUUGUCUACGCUAAGAACAUGUUUGGUUCAUAAUUAGAACGAGAAUGAGAAAUAAAAUUAGAUUGUAUUGGAAUGAAAAAUAUAACGAUGAAUCAUUCAAAAAUAUAAAAAUCAAGAAUUUUGAGAGAGAGUUUCAGUUAAGAGAGAGAGGAGAGUGACAAAUUUACUUUGGAAUAGAUAAGUUCAGAAUCCAAAACCAGAUUGGGUUAUAAAUGUAUUAUUAUAGUGGAACGAGAAGUGAAAUCUGAUUCCUAUAAAGUAAACAACAACUAUCGGAAUCAAUAAAUCUCAUUCUGAUUUCAUAAUCUAAAUUAAAACGAAUGAACUAAAUAAGUCCUAAGUUU
rnacentral:lncRNA from 1 species